rnacentral:rRNA from 1 species
AUUGAACGCUGGCGGCAUGCCUUACACAUGCAAGUCGAACGGCAGCACGGGGGCAACCCUGGUGGCGAGUGGCGAACGGGUGAGUAAUAUAUCGGAACGUGCCCUGGAGUGGGGGGUAACGUAGCGAAAGUUACGCUAAUACCGCAUACGAUCUACGGGUGAAAGUGGGGGACCGCAAGGCCUCAUGCUCGUGGAGCGGCCGAUAUCUGAUUAGCUAGUUGGUAGGGUAAAGCCACCAAGGCAUCGAUCAGUAGCUGGUCUGAGAGGAUGGCCAGCCACAUUGGGACUGAGAGACGGCCCAGACUCCUACGGGAGGCAGCAGUGGGGAAUCUUGCGCAAUGGCCGAAAGGCUGACGCAGCGACGCCGCGUGUGGGAGGACG